GUCUACGGCCAUACCACCCUGAACGCGCCCGAUCUCGUCUGAUCUCGGAAGCUAAGCAGGGUCGGGCCUGGUUAGUACUUGGAUGGGAGAAGAUUCUCCCCAUCAGCUAAUGUGCAAGGUAGUUGAAGGCC
ensembl:rRNA 5S_rRNA 5S ribosomal RNA